UUGGAGGGUCGCCCAGCCGUGAGAGUUUCUGUGAUCCUGGCAGGAAAGGAGAAGGCUGUUACAGGAGGGGGAGCUCCUGCUGCCUCCGGAUCAAACUCCAGAAAGGCGCCCUGCCUUGUCCAUCAGACUCGGGGGUCCUGAGCGCAGGGCUUGUACCUCCCCCGGCUGCCCUGUAAUCUACUCCGCUGCCCUCUGCUGCUGGCCACUCAGGGGGCCAUAAAGAGUAUGUGGCCUACUGAAUUCGGUUGGACACACAGUGGCUGAAGACCCACUGUGCGUGAGGGCACGUCAUGGGUGCUGGAAAUACAAGUGUCAUCAACAGUGAGCACAAUGCCAUCUAGCAAGUGACUUCUGGGUCCUCGUCCUGCUCUUUUUCAACAUACCUAUGAAGAAAUCGAGGCUUGGAGGGGGAAAGUAACUUGCCCCAGGUGAGAGAGCAGAAGGUAGCCUGCAUUCAGCCCUCACGGCCCCAUAAUUCCACUCCAUCUCACUAUCUCUCCACUAACUGCCUGGGAACAUCCACGCACUGACCUUCCUGUAAAAAGUGGGUCCCUUCUCCAUGAGGAAGAGUUGACAUGAUGAAGUCAGCUGGGGGAUGAGAUGAGAUCGUGGAUGACGUCACUGAGACCAGAGCAUUUCGGACAUUUGGCAUGAAGUUGGGAUUUCUCUUUCUGUAUCUCUCCAGCCCAGAGGCCCUUCCAGUCUCCAAGUCUCCCUCUACCAUUCCAUCUCCCCCAGAUCUGUCUGACACUCCCCCACAUUCCUGAGCUUGGGCCCUCCCCCAACCAGACUCCUGCUCCCACAUUCCCUGUGGACACUCCCCUGGAGUGGAAAAACCAUCCCUCAUCCCUUUCCUGCUCCCAGCCCCAGGAUCGGACAUGCUGGUCAUUCCUGUUGGGGAUGGCCAAAGAGAUAACGCCUGGCAUGGAGCCCUCCUGUGUCGUCACCGGGCUCUUAAAGCUAUUUCAGGCGGGACCCCUGCCCACACUGUGUUCCCUGGCCCCUAAGCUCUUGGCUCUGGCUGCCUCCUCUUCUCCUAGAACAAGGUGGAGGACCCAGCAGCCAGCCAGGAGAUCCAGGUAAUGGUUCAACUCCCCGCUGAGUCAGUUUCCUGUUCCUUGACCCCAGAUAUCUCCUGACCCCGGGAGGCUCUGUGCCACAGGUGGACCAUGGAGAGAGGCUGGGUGGCUCUGGGAGUCACAGCUUGGGAACAAGUGUUCUCCUCAGGGCAGACAGGGAUGAGUGUCCUCUCCCCAAACAGCACAGAGAACACUGUUAUCGCAGCUGCUUCUAUGUAGGGACAUCUGGCUGUCUGACCAACAUCUGCCUGGAGUUUGUCUCUUAAAGACACAGCUGUGAUUGGUGGCUUCCAGUCCUAACUCUGCUUCCCAUGAGCUGUGGGAUCUUGGACAUCCAGGUUCCCUAGUAAGUCAGAUGAGGAUGAUAAUCCUGAAUUUAUAGGGAGCCUGGGAAGAUGAAAUGAGAGUCUGCAUGUGAAAUGAUUCAUCAACUGUAAAGUUUGGCCUGAGUCCUUCCCAGGCUCUGAAUCUAAUUUUAUACUCCUACCUAAUUCUUUACUCUUUUCUUUAAAGAGGGCUCCAAAUUGUACAAGCUUCAAGCCCCACAAAACCUAGAUUUGCCCUGAGUAUUGUACAAAUGUUAAUUAUUAGCUUAAUUGGUCAAGAAGGGCUCUGAGGUCAGAUUACACGGAAUUAAAAUCCGAGCUGUGUGGCCUUCACCAAGUUGCUUAACCUCCCUGAGCCUCCGUUUUCUCAUCUUGAAACAGAGAUAACACCUCAGAGAUUAUUGUGAGGAUUUAAUAAUAUUUGUAAAGCAUUAAGCAUACGUCCCCCGGCAUAAGCACUACUACAUGGGUCUUAUCAUUAUUACAAACUCUCUGACAGGGGUUCUAAAUUGAACUUCAAGGGAGGGCUGAACUGGAAAGUUCCUUUACCCUAGAGAAAAGAAUGGUCAGAGGAAAUGGGUCUUUCCACCGCAAUAUGGGGAAAUCUGAGUUAGACCCAAGAAAUCUGAGUUAGACCCAUCGUGACCUCUUGAAUUUCCUUUUCAGUUGAUUCUUCUGCGGGUAACCAAACAUUUAGGCCCCACCCACCUACCUCCAACUGGCACCGCCCACUUACACACCUGCGGGGGCUGGCGUUCCUGCCCAGUCUCCAAACAGUCCGUCUGAGCCUGGGAGGGAGCUCAGGGUACCUUUGGGAUUCUGGUGGGCUCGUCCCUGAAGGCGAAUGAGAAAUCGGUGCAGUCUGGGCCCAGCUCCCUAGCCACGGAGGGGCACUCUUAGGAGCAGGGACUCAUUUCCACAUCGGGCUUACAAGGGAGACCAGAAGGCGCAGCCCUUGGGAGAAAACGCUGUCUUGUUGCUAAUUACGAUUACAGAUACUUGUUUAUUUACUACUGCUAAAUAUC